UUCACUGUUGUACACAGACACUCCUCCUAACUGAAGUACGAGACGCUUUUUAACACUUAAAUUUCACCUGUAGCCUAUAUCAUUAUCAGCCGCAUCCACAUUGAGAAGAAACCUGGAAUCAACUUAUUUACCCUUUACUUGCUAAAUGUAACAAUUGGGAACACGGCAUUGUCAUCUAACCACAACACAAGCCCGGUGAGACCUUUUCGCAACCCGUCUUUCACACGUCGCAGUUCCGGGUCUUUUUGUAGGUUGGGAUAGUGACUAUGGAAGUAUGAGCGACGCGCUGGAGUUGAAGCCCAUUCAAGUUGUCUGUGACAACAAUAACGUCUCGAGUGACCAAACGAUUGAGGUGAUUCCAGGGAAUGGUGCUUGCUCAGGCCACGUCAGUUCAGAGAGAAAUGAAGAGUCCCCUUUGCUAUCAACAACACAGGUUGCUGAGGACAAUAGGGAACAGCACCUCCAUGUGGAUGGAGGCGUCGAUACUGACUCUCUAAGUCAACCCAAGUGGCAGAGGGAGCUGCGGAGAGUCAAGAGAGAACUGAAUGAGGUGGUGGUGUGGAAACUCAAACUAUGGACAUUGAUACUUAUCAUCUUUAUUGCCAUUGCUCUGGUUAUUGGGAUCUCAAUCAUUGUGUGCGCAGUUGGUCAUGACGAUGAGGAUGAAAAAUAUGACAAAUCAUCAUUUGUGGUGCCGCGCUUCUUCAGAGGGAAUUUCACGCUGGAUGCUAAAAGUUUAAAUUCAGACACUCAGGACGAAGAGACUAUGAUAGAGCUGAAACAGCAGCUGACAGGAGUCUACAGUUCUUCUCCUGCAUUGGAGCGGUACUUCUCCAAUGUCACCAUAAACAAUCUCCAGGACACUACAGGCCAGUUUAAGCUACAGUUCAUGAUGCCUUUAAAACAUGAGGAGUUGAUACGCUACACUUUGAGUCUAAAGAUGGUUAAAAAUGUGCUGCUCCAACACUUGUAUGAUCGAGACACUGGAGACCCUUUCUAUAUCAUACCGACAUCACUCCACAUGGAAGCUGGAUAAAUAAGCAAAAUCUGAAUUACAAGAUGGAUGAUCUAAAUUGAAUCACUGGUCCCUUCAUCAGAAAACAAAACAUUCCAAACAUCACAUUAUUUCAUUUGACUGCCUUCUGCACUCUUUAACAGAUCUCUUAUAUAGUAUAUAUAAUAAUUAUAUAGUAAUUAUCCACCAUUAAUAAUUAACUGUCUUUAUGGGUUCACUUAAAAAAAAAGUCAGUGUUCAUACAGUAUGUUUUACACACUUUAUAUAAAAAUAACUUUAGAUAUUUAACACUUUCAAAACACUUAAUGGAAAACAGUAGAGUAAAACUGAUUUUUUGCAUUAUUAUUAUUAUUAUUAAUAAUAAUAAUAAUAAUAAUAAUAGUUUAGACUAGAUAGAUGUAGCCUACUGUUUAGAAAUAUGGAGGUUUACAUUUGUCACAAUUUGAGUCUCAGAAGAUUAUCGAAACACUGAAUAUGGAACUUCCAAACCUGUUCUGUUGUUAUGAUGUUAAGUUUCAUGUUGCUCCAGGAUGAAUUUUUAUAAUAAUACUAUAAGUGUGUACUGUACUUUUAUUGAUCUCUGUUGAUUGAACAUUGGACCAUUUUUUAAUCAAUGUGGAGCAAUUCUUUGUACGUGUGAGAUUUUUUAAAUAAAAAAUUGUGCUAUAAAUAUGUGUUAUAAUGGAAGUAUUUUACUGUAUUUCUACAUGAAAAAUAGAAAUUAUCUGUAUUAUAAUCCAGAUGAUCUGAACUUUUUUUUCCUGAUAGAUAAGGUACAAAGUUUACCUUUUUAGAGGGCACCACCUCAGUUACAGCUUUUGUACCUUUUUUUGUUUAUUUAUUAAUUUAGUUUUUUG
rnacentral:lncRNA from 1 species